AUUGAACGCUGGCGGCAUGCUUUACACAUGCAAGUCGAACGGUAACAGGCCGCAAGGUGCUGACGAGUGGCGAACGGGUGAGUAAUGCAUCGGAACGUGCCCAGUCGUGGGGGAUAACGCAGCGAAAGCUGCGCUAAUACCGCAUACGAUCUAUGGAUGAAAGCGGGGGACCGUAAGGCCUCGCGCGAUUGGAGCGGCCGAUGUCAGAUUAGGUAGUUGGUGGGGUAAAGGCUCACCAAGCCGACGAUCUGUAGCUGGUCUGCGAGGACGACCAGCCACACUGGGACUGAGAAACGGCCCAGACUCCUACGGGAGGCAGCAGUGGGGAAUUUUGGACAAUGGGCGCAAGCCUGAUCCAGCAAUGCCGCGUGCAGGAAGAAGGCCUUCGGGUUGUAAACUGCUUUUGUACGGAACGAAAAGGCUCUGGUUAAUACCUGGGGCUCAUGACGGUACCGUAAGAAUAAGCACCGGCUAACUACGUGCCAGCCGCCGCAGUAACAC
rnacentral:rRNA from 1 species